rnacentral:rRNA from 1 species
CCUCGAUGUCGGCUCGACACAUCCUGGAGGUGGAGAAGCUUCCAAGGGUUUGGCUGUUCGCCAACUAAAGUGUUACGCGAGCUGGGUUAAAACCGUUCGCGCGCUAAGCGCGCGAACCAACAAAAUGGUUCGAAAGUUUGGCGCUUGAACCGUUUUAAUCCAGUAUUGAGGAAUCUUUUUGUUUAUGAAAAAGUAUAGGAACCAAUCACACGAUCACGGCGGCGUAUUCUAGGAAUAGAAUGCGUGAAGCUGACUCAAAUCGGUAGAAUCCUGCUUUGCAUCACGUUGCAGAGGGGAUGAUACCGAGGGAACUCCGGCACAGAGCCGGGGGCCCGUAGAGACUGAAUGUUAGCUAUCCCAUACCGAAUUGCGGUAAGGGAUAAAGUUACAGUCCGAUCCCGCCGGCAACGGCGGUGUCACCACCUUAAUAGGUAGUGGCUACUAUUGCGUGAGACAGGUUGGUCUCCUAUCUACUGCGGGCGUUGAUUCUUGAGGGGAGUCUUCGAUAGUACGAGAGGACCUCGAAGAACUGACCUCUGGUGUACCAGCUGUCGUGCCAACGGCAACGCUGGGUAGCUAUGUCGGGAACGGAUAACCGCUGAAAGCAUCUAAGCGGGAAGCCGACCCCAAGAUUAGGAAUCUUAGAAUCCUGAGAGAUGAUCAGGUUGAUAGGCUCUAGGUGUAAGCGCAGUAAUGCGUUGAGCCGAGGAGUACUAAUACAUC